UUGGGCAGUGGGCACAGGGUUUGCCCCUGUCAUCUAAUGCAGAGCAGCUGACAGGAUGGGGAGGAGAGGCCGCGAUUCCCUCUCCUCUCCCAAUUGCCUCGGCCCCCCUUCCGUCACCGGCUCCCAGCGGCUGACCAGUCAUACCAGGGGAGCCCUGGAGGGCGAGCACAUCACAGGGAGCAGGUGAACGGAUGAGAGAUGGAGACUCCCAUAGACAGCACUGAUGUAAAUGAUAUCUUUCUAUAGCAGACGAUGGAACACAGAUGAUUGAAAUAAUAUACUGCAUGUUCUAUCCCCCCAAAUGCAUGUGUUGUCAUCCAACUUGCUUAGAUACCUGUGCGGACGCCAUCAUCUUGUAUACAUAGAUUUUUCACAUAUACUCGUAUAAUGGGAUCUUUGGGAACCCUGUCCAUUAUACUGGCAGUGGCACCACUGGGGCAAUAUAGUGCCAAUCUGGUAAUUGCCUUGCAUCGGGGGAGGUGGAAAAGAGUUCAGGUAAUUUAAAAAUAUUUCCCGCGUAUUACUAAUGAAAUUAUAACAUGUCCGUUUCUCAAAACUCAGACUGGUGGUGGCUUAUACCCUACAGAGGUGCAAUCAGCCCUUUGUUAGCCAGCUUGGGGCUGGUUUUCACUGUUGCAGAUUGACCCCACAUUUGAAGUCUGCUGUUAUUACACUGGAGACCAGCAAUGACUGUCCAGCACUUGUGCUGGAUGAGAAUUUGUGGAGGGGGCAUGCUGCUUUUAUAUUUAUUAAAACUAUUAUUGAUU